UUUGUGAUAAGACUCUUACUUACUUACCAAGGAGGCAAAUAGUGGGUGUCGCCGUGUGGCCAUCAACAUCACCGUGUGAAUUCAUUUCCUUCAGGGCUGUUUGCCCCAGGAAGAGAGCGCUCAGGAGUGUUUACUGGUGGAAGAUCUGGCCUGUGACCAAGUAGCGCCAGCUUGGUAUGGGAGACUGGGGAAUGCUACCAUCGUAUCCUGUGAAAAACAGGAUACGGGUGGGCACCUCUCUGCUCCCUCUUAUCUGCUGGCAAGGCCCGGGAAGAUGGGUUUUCUGCUGGGAUCCCAAAGCCGGAAGCUGCCACUCCAGAGAGAGCUGACUCAACCACUAACUGUCACUCCAAAGAGAGCUGACUCGACCACUUUGGACUUAUAAAUAAGUUCGUACUGCUGUUGGAGGUUGUCGUCGACCAAAGGGGUCGUCGACCAAAGGGGUCAUUGACCAAAGCGGUUGGCAACCGAACAACAAGCCCUGAUGACCCAUCACCUGAGAAGAUCAACGUCGGCGCUACAAACAACGCUGGACCCCUGGUGGUGACUAUCUCUCUUGCUUUCUACAAAGACUCCUUGCUUUUUUUUAUCUCCUUUCUAUCGCCCACCUUCCCUUCCCCAUCUCCCUAAGCUACUAGGAUUUGUAAUAAACUGGUUGGGCUGACAUUUGACCCGUUGUGUCUUAAUCUCACCGUCGGGUAUACAUAUAUUAAAAGAACCCCUUCUCCCUCCUGUAAAUUGGAGCAAGACACACCCCUUUGCUUAAUACACACUUCCAUGUCAGAUGCCAUUCUGUCAGACUGCCCCUCUGUUGCCAUCUGUCACAUGGUAACAAAAUGUAAUGGAAUAUUGGUGGGAAGGUUCAGCCUCUACUGCCAUAACACCAACAUCCUCAUCUGGUGUCAUGGGCCAACAUAGUAAAAUAGGUGGCAUUGUUUUCGGAGCAGUCCCUGUAGUAUAAAUAGCAGAAGGCCUAUGAACGAUGUGGAAACAGCAGCCUAACACGGUUAGCUGGCAAGCUGGGCAGAGCUCAGCUUGCUUUGGAGCUAUGAAUACUCACUAUCUACAUCUUCCUUCUCAGCAGUGUACCAGGUGUGAACCAGACCGAUGCAUCAGAAUGGCAUUAGUGCAGCAUCUCUCUUCAACUUGGAUCAUCUGUCAAGAGAGUAUCUCCC
rnacentral:lncRNA from 1 species